CCGCGCUAAGGAUGGACGUGGAAAUCCUUUUUUGGGAGCGGCCCAAAAAAGAUUGCAGCCACAGCCUGACCAAGC
rnacentral:sRNA from 10 species